rnacentral:rRNA from 1 species
AAUCAACGCUGGCGGCGUGCCUAACACAUGCAAGUCGAACGCGAAAGCCCCGCAAGGGUAAGUAGAGUGGCAAACGGGUGAGUAACACGUGGGUGACCUGCCUUCGAGUGGGGAUAACGUCCCGAAAGGGACGCUAAUACCGCAUAACAUCCUGCCUUUUAAGAGGUGGACAUCAAAGCUGGGGAUCGCAAGACCUAGCGCUUGACGAGGGGCCCGCGCCUGAUUAGCCUAGUUGGGGGGUAAUGGCUCACCAAGGCAACGAUCAGUAUCCGGCCUGAGAGGGCGGACGGACAC